rnacentral:sRNA from 1 species
GAUUUUCCAGGGCAUGUAGCAACAGGGAGAUUCAGCAACGGAAAAUUGGUAUCUGAUUUUCUUGCGUCUGCCUUGAAUAUCAAAGACACUGUUCCUCCUUUUCUAAAUCCAGACCUAAGUGACCAAGAACUUCUAACAGGAGUUUCUUUUGCCUCGGGAGAAUCUGGUAUUGAUGAGCUCACUGCAUCUCUCACAAAUGUUUUAUCGAUGGACCAACAGCUUCAAUAUUUCAAAGCUUACACAAUGAAGCUGAAGCAAAUCGUAGGAGAAGAUCAAGCCAUGCAAAGACUUCGAGAUGCUCUUGUUCUCAUCUCUGUCGGUACUAACGAUUUCAUUUUGAAUUUCCAUGACUUCCCCUCUCGAAGACUCAUGUUCGUCACCAUUGAUGCUUACCAAGAUUAUUUGCUUGAUAAGUUGGAGGUCAUAAUUAAGGAACUGUAUGAUGAAGGAUGUAGGAACAUUGGUGUGGCUGGGCUUCCUCCCCUUGGUUGUGUUCCUCUUCAAAUGUCCCUAAAAUUCAAAAUUGAUAGGCAAUGUUUGGUGCAUCAGAAUGCCGACAGUGAGAAGUAUAAUCGGAAGUUGGCUCAGAGACUCUCCCUGUUACAAGCUACACUCCCUCAAAGCAAAAUUGUAUAUGGAGAUUUGUACCACCCCCUACUCAACCUUUAUACUCAUCCUCAGCAUUAUGGUAUGGAGGUAACAAACAGAGGGUGUUGUGGAUCAGGUUACUUGGAAGUGAUUGAGAUAUGUAAUGCAUAUACACCUCUAUGCAGUAAUCACUCAAA